rnacentral:rRNA from 1 species
AGCGAACGUUAGCGGCGCGCCUAACACAUGCAAGUCGCACGAGAAAGGGAGCAAUCCCCGGUACAGUGGCGCACGGGUGAGUAACACGUAGAUGACCUUCCCUGGAGUGGUGGAUAACCUGCCGAAAGGCGGGCUAAUACAGCAUGGGACCACAUGGUUUUGACCGAGUGGUGAAAGCGGGCCUCUGUUCACAAGCUCGCGCUCUGGGAUGGGUCUGCGUCCCAUCAGCUAGUUGGUGAGGUAAUGGCUCACCAAGGCAUCGACGGGUAGCUGGUCUGAGAGGAUGACCAGCCACACUGGAACUGAGACACGGUCCAGACUCCUACGGGAGGCAGCAGUGGGGGAAUCUUGCGCAAUGGGCGAAAGCCUGACGCAGCGACGCCGCGUGGGUGAUGAAGGCCUCGGUU